rnacentral:rRNA from 1 species
AGAGUUUGAUCCUGGCUCAGGAUGAACGCUGGCGGCGUGCUUAACACAUGCAAGUCGAACGAUCCUUCGGGAUAGUGGCGGACGGGUGAGUAACGCGUGGGAGUCUGCCCUCAGGAGGGGGAUAACGGCUGGAAACGGCCGCUAAUACCCCAUAUGCCGAGAGGUGAAACGAAUUUCGCCUGAGGAUGAGCCCGCGUCUGAUUAGCUAGUUGGUGGGGUAACGGCCCACCAAGGCGACGAUCAGUAGCUGGUCUGAGAGGAUGAUCAGCCACACUGGGACUGAGACACGGCCCAGACUCCUACGGGAGGCAGCAGUGGGGAAUUUUCCGCAAUGGGCGAAAGCCUGACGGAGCAACGCCGCGUGAGGGAUGAAGGCCUCUGGGCUGUAAACCUCUUUUCUCAAGGAAGAAGACCUGACGGUACUUGAGGAAUAAGCCACGGCUAAUUCCGUGCCAGCAGCCGCGGUAAUACGGGAGUGGCAAGCGUUAUCCGGAAUUAUUGGGCGUAAAGCGUCCGCAGGCGGCCUUGUAAGUCUGUUGUUAAAGCGUGGAGCUUAACUCCAUUUAAGCAAUGGAAACUACAAGGCUGGAGUGUGGUAGGGGCAGAGGGAAUUCCCGGUGUAGCGGUGAAAUGCGUAGAUAUCGGGAAGAACACCAGUGGCGAAGGCGCUCUGCUGGGCCAUAACUGACGCUCAUGGACGAAAGCCAGGGGAGCGAAAGGGAUUAGAUACCACUGUAGUCCUGGCCGUAAACGAUGAACACUAGGUGUCGGGGGAAUCGACCCCCUCGGUGUCGUAGCCAACGCGUUAAGUGUUCCGCCUGGGGAGUACGCACGCAAGUGUGAAACUCAAAGGAAUUGACGGGGGCCCGCACAGGCGGUGGAGUAUGUGGUUUAAUUCGAUGCAACGCGAAGAACCUUACCAGGGUUUGACAUCCUGCGAACCCCUGAGAAAUCGGGGGGUGCCUUCGGGAGCGCAGAGACAGGUGGUGCAUGGCUGUCGUCAGCUCGUGUCGUGAGAUGUUGGGUUAAGUCCCGCAACGAGCGCAACCCACGUCUUUAGUUGCCAGCAUUCAGUUGGGCACUCCAGAGAGACCGCCGGUGAUAAACCGGAGGAAGGUGUGGAUGACGUCAAGUCAUCAUGCCCCUUACAUCCUGGGCUACACACGUACUACAAUGCUACGGACAAGGGCAGCAAGCUCGCGAGAGUUAGCAAAUCCCAUAAACCGUGGCUCAGUUCAGAUCGUAGGCUGCAACUCGCCUACGUGAAGGAGGAAUCGCUAGUAAUCGCAGGUCAGCAUACUGCGGUGAAUACGUUCCCGGGCCUUGUACACACCGCCCGUCACGCCAUGGAAGUUGGCCAUGCCCGAAGUCGUUACUCCAACCCUUGUGGAGGAGGACGCCGAAGGUGGGGCUGAUGACUGGGGUGAAGUCGUAACAAGGUA